rnacentral:antisense_RNA from 1 species
AUCUUCGACACGGGGACAAAUCCCGGGAUGGAGUCCAGGGUUUCCCGCGGCUUCGGCGCUUCCUGACCUGGCGUGACUGCCGACUUGUCGGCACCACCCAGGCCUCAGGCUCCCUGUCUGUAGUGGUGAAUCGACCUUCCUCAUGGCAGUCCAGGCUCCCCAAGCCCCAUGUCCUGUUGAUCCGGGACAAACUCUUCCUUGAACAUUCUUCACUACGAGCCGCUGCUGAUCUGUACUGCCUGGAGGAGCAUUUCCAUAGCGCCCGCAAAAAUAACAAUAAAGCUCACCCAAGGAAAUAACCAUGGAUUCUCACGCCUGGGUGCCAGUGUUUGGAAUCGACUGGGCUUUUUUAUGUUAGUAGGCAAUUUAAAACAAUUACUUAUUUGAAAUCAGAAGCGCAAUAGGCACAACUUCAGCUCAAGAUCCCAGAGGAAGAGGAGCCAUCUUUCCCAGUGGCUUUAGCAGAAAAGUCCCUGAGCCAGUCACUGUGCCCACUGGAAGACAAAUGGAGACUCGCCAAGCUUUGGUCAUGAACUCA